rnacentral:pre_miRNA from 1 species
UAGUCUAGUUACUAGGCAGUGUAGUUAGCUGAUUGCUAAUAGUACCAAUCACUAACCACACGGCCAGGUAAAAAGACUGA